ensembl:Y_RNA Y_RNA Y RNA
GGCUUGUCCGAUGGUGGUGGGUUAUCAGAACUUAUUAUAACAUUAGGGUCACUAAAGUUGGUAUACAACCCCCCACUGCUAAAUUAGACUGGCUUAAA